UACGGGGGGAGCAAGCGUUGUUCGGAUUUACUGGGCGUAAAGGGCGCGUAGGCGGCGUGACAAGUCACUUGUGAAAUCUCCGGGCUUAACCCGGAACGGUCAAGUGAUACUGUCGUGCUAGAGUACAGAAGGGGCAACUGGAAUUCUCGGUGUAGCGGUGAAAUGCGUAGAUAUCAGGAGGAACACCGGUGGCGAAGGCGCUCAUCUGGCCCAAUACUGACGCUGAAGCGCGAAAGCUAGGGGAGCAAACGGG
rnacentral:rRNA from 1 species